rnacentral:rRNA from 1 species
UACGGAGGGUGCAAGCAUUAAUCGGAUUUAUUGGGCGUAAAGGGCGCGUAGGCGGAGAUAAAAGUCAGAUGUGAAAUCCCGGGGCUCAACCUCGGAACUGCAUUUGAAACUCUAUUUCUAGAGGGUAGGCGGAGAAAACGGAAUUCCACAAGUAGCGGUGAAAUGCGUAGAUAUGUGGAAGAACACCGGUGGCGAAGGCGGUUUUCUAGCUUACUCCUGACGCUAAAGCGCGAAAGCAAGGGGAUCAAACAGG